CCUACGGGAGGCAGCAGUGAGGAAUAUUGGUCAAUGGGCGGGAGCCUGAACCAGCCAAGUCGCGUGAGGGAAGACGGUCCUAUGGAUUGUAAACCUCUUUAGGCGGGGAGCAAUGCCGGGCACGCGUGCCCGGAGGGAGAGUACCCGCAGAAGAAGCAGCGGCGAACUCCGUGCCAGCAGCCGCGGUAAUACGGAGGGUGCGAGCGUUAUCCGGAUGUAUGGGGUUUAAAGGGGGCGUAGGCGGAUUUGUCAGUCAGCGGUCAAAUGUCCGGGCUCAACCCGGGCCGGCCGUUGAAACUGGGGAUCUUGCGUGGGCGAGCAGUAUGCGGAAUGCGUGGUGUAGCGGUGAAAUGCAUAGAUAUCACGCAGAACUCCGAUUGCGCAGGCAGCAUACCGGCGCCCGACUGACGCUGGGGCACGAACGCGUGGGGAUCGAACAGGAUUAGAUACCCUGGUAGUC
rnacentral:rRNA from 1 species